rnacentral:rRNA from 1 species
GUGGGGAAUAUUGGACAAUGGGCGAAAGCCUGAUCCAGCCAUGCCGCGUGUGUGAAGAAGGUCUUCGGAUUGUAAAGCACUUUAAGUUGGGAGGAAGGGCAGUAAGUUAAUACCUUGCUGUUUUGACGUUACCAACAGAAUAAGCACCGGCUAACUUCGUGCCAGCAGCCGCGGUAAUACGAAGGGUGCAAGCGUUAAUCGGAAUUACUGGGCGUAAAGCGCGCGUAGGUGGUUCAGCAAGUUGAAGGUGAAAUCCCCGGGCUCAACCUGGGAACUGCCUCCAAAACUACUGAGCUAGAGUACGGUAGAGGGUAGUGGAAUUUCCUGUGUAGCGGUGAAAUGCGUAGAUAUAGGAAGGAACACCAGUGGCGAAGGAGACUACCUGGACUGAUACUGACACUGAGGUGCGAAAGCGUGGGGAGCAAACAGGAUUAGAAACCCUAGUAGUCC